rnacentral:rRNA from 1 species
GACGAACGCUGGCGGCGUGCUUAACACAUGCAAGUCGGACGAUGAACCCGGAGCUUGCUCCGGUGGAUUAGUGGCGAACGGGUGAGUAACACGUGAGUAACCUGCCCCGAACUCUGGGAUAACUGCUGGAAACGGUAGCUAAUACCGGAUAUGACCAAUGAAGGCAUCUUCUGUUGGUGGAAAGAAUUUCGGUUCGGGAUGGACUCGCGGCCUAUCAGCUUGUUGGUGAGGUAACGGCUCACCAAGGCGACGACGGGUAGCCGGCCUGAGAGGGUGAUCGGCCACACUGGGACUGAGACACGGCCCAGACUCCUACGGGAGGCAGCAGUGGGGAAUAUUGCACAAUGGGCGCAAGCCUGAUGCAGCAACGCCGCGUGAGGGACGACGGCCUUCGGGUUGUAAACCUCUUUUAGUAGGGAAGAAGCGAAAGUGACGGUACCUGCAGAAAGAGCACCGGCUAACUACGUGCCAGCCGCCGCAGUAA